UUGAAAGGGAAACGAUUGAAGUCAGUUGUACCUGCGGGUAAUCAGCCUUUUGGGCAUGAUUCUGUGGAGCGUGAGGAGUUAAACGCCUUCAUGCCUGCAUAUUCGUGUACUUUGGGUGUACUUGCCUGUGUGGUUAGUUAACAUCAAUUUUGGUUAUCAUAAAAUGGCUGGAGGAAUGUAGCUUCGAUUUCGAUUGAAGUGUUAUAGACUUCGGCAGAUGUGAUGAUCGGGAUUGAGGAUUGCAACGGAUACCCUUCGGGGCUACCUGUCUGAUCUCUGAUCGUUGCUCUGGUGCCGAAAGCGUGCUUACGGUUAUCAAAGUCGAUGGUCAAUAGGUUAGAAUGGGUUAAAUUCGUUAAGGAUGUUGACGUA
rnacentral:rRNA from 1 species